ensembl:lncRNA
CUUAGAAAAUGUACUACCAAGUGGAUGGCAAAAGAAAUAUAAUUAUUUUUUAAAGGAAACAAGCUGGAGUACAUGGACCAAUAUAAGGACCAAUAUAAACAACAAAAUAACAUUAAAAUAAACUAUUUGACCUCAGAUAGAAAUUCUCAAAUAUUUUAGGCCAAAAGCAUUUAAUUUCAUUUCAUCCAAAUUUUCUCAUUGAUCUUUAUUACUUGUUUAUAUAUAUUUUACUUACAACUGUCACAACCUUUUAGACAAACUAUUCUACUUAGCUUUGACAUUUUCUCCUUUCCAUCUAAAGUCUGUAAUCUCUGGGGAUUUUAUUUUAAUGAGUAGUUUUCCUUAGAACACUUUAAAAACAGAAAUAAAAAGUGACUACAUAUACAUUUCAAGAAUUCAUAUUUCUUAAAAAUCUGUUACAGAGAAAAAUGUUAAUUUUAAUGAAAAUGCCUAAUUACAUAGAAAAACACAAAAUGUGAAUAUAUAAUAAGGGAAAAGAAACUAAAUAACCACAAUAAACGCUUUCAUUUAGAAAAUGGAAAAAAUAAAGAAAUACAGCAGUCACUGACUUCACAGCAAUUUUGAAAUCUGGCUGGGAAGAUAUUCUGAAGACUCUCCAGCUUGUGUGUGUAAUAUUUUUCGAUUAGGUUCAGAUCUGCUCCUUAGGAGGAGCUCCUUUGUCCACUGUUCUUUGUGGCCUGUGGCUUCAUGCUCUGGGCAUAUGUUCCCUUUCCAUUAUACUACUUGUCCACAUCUGAAGCGGGCAUUUGAGAAUAUGCAUCCUUGGGAGUUGCCUAGCCCUCUCACAGUCUACUUUUCCACAUAUGGUUGGCAGUACAAAGUCAUUUUAGGUCCUAAAGAGUCACAGACUUUUAAUAUCCAGAUUCAUGGUUUCCUUAACAAUACAACUCUCUUAAAAACAUGCUUGGCUUUUUAAUCUAUUGGUGUCCAGUCAAGUUCCAUGUUCCAAAAGCUCUCCCAACAGUUCUUUUCUAGACAUCCUUCUUAGACUUGCUUUAUUCAUUGCUUUCCAGCUUCCAUGGCUCUCUUUCCACUUAUUUGAAGGUAAAUUGAGCUUCUCAGACUUCAGUGGGAGAGCCAUAUUUUUAGUCUCUUUUCUCUAAACUAUUUUGUCCAAUUGAAAGGAUGUAUUGCACACUACACCCUUAGUUUGAUCUUUACUCUGAGAAAAGUACUUUCACAAAGGCUUUUCAGAGGUUUUAACAAUGGUGUCAAGACCAUAAUCUCAUUUAAUCUUUGCCACAAGGUUGUUUACUCUUUGUUACUCAAAGCUCUGUCACUUUUAUCUUCUAGCGGUUGUGGUUGAGAGCAGUUGUGUUUUCCAACUCUUCAAUUCCCCAAUUUCUAGACUGUAUUCUUUUUUAUUCCUGCUACAAAAUGGCCAGUUCUUUUCUGAGCUCAUCUCUUUCUUGUAAUACUUUCUACAAAGCAGCCAACAGCAGGCAACAUGUUCUGUUUUCCAACCCUUCCCCCAUACCUACAAAUUCAUUAGUGUGUUACUCAUCUUACAAAUUAUCACAGACCACAGCUUAACAAAUAUUUUGCCCCUAGAUAACAUCAAUUUCCCUUUUAUCCUUCAAUAUCAGCUUUCUUACCAUCUACCAUUAACUCUUAAACCGUUGACACAUAUUUUAUCAUUUUUUGUUACAAAACAUCCCACUCAUCAUAGUAAUUUCUCUAUCAGUAAUGAUAAUCUAGGAUAUAUUACAAUAAUAAACAACUACAAGAAUCUCAUUGAAUUAAAACACGGCUUAUUUUUGCUCAUGUUUGUUUUGCUUAUCUGGCACAGGGUAGGCUUGUCCUCAAACUGGGACUCAGCAGUACUCUGAGACAGACUAGCCACCACCUGAAGCAUCACUAGUUGCCAUGACAGUGGGAAAAAGAACAGGGUGAAUCAUUCACUGACUUAAAGAUUCCACAAAGAAGCACACAUCACUUCUAGUCACAUUACAUUGACUAAAGCAAGUUAUACGGCUGUAUCUAGUUCAAGGGUGUAGGGAAUUAUAAUCCUAACAUGAACCUGAAAGGGAACAAGAAAUAUUUGGUGGACAGCAUUAAUGAUUACCACAUCCUCCAAUAUCAUUGUUGCUUUGUUCUUCACAUUUAGGGCUAGUAUCUACCCGGAAUGGAUUUUUGCAUGGUGUGAUGGGAUCCAAUAUGGCUACCAGCAUCAUUUAUUGAACAGUCCAUUCUCUUCCCACUGCUAUGCAGUGGUACUCUCGUUAUAAAUCAAGUGUUCACAUAUGCAUGGCUCUGUUAUAUGUCUGAGCUCUCUACUCUGUUCCUUUGGUCUAUUUAUCUAUCCUUACACCAAGUGCACAUUAUCUUAAUUGCUAUUGAAUUAUUAUAAAUAUUGAUAACAGAUAAAAUGAGUCUUCCCACCUUGUUCUUCUCUAAGAAUGUCCUCACUUAACUUGGACCUCUGCAUUUCCACAUAAAAUUUAAAAUCAGCUUAUCUUUGAAUUUUGAUUGCAUUGACAAUUUAAGGAAAAACAACAUCUUUACAAAUAAUGAAUCUACCAAUUUAUAACAUGUAAAUUUGUUUAGAUUCUUAUUAGUAUAUUUGAUUCUUCUCAUUAAUAUCUUGUUUUAUCUAAAGAAGUCUUGCAAAUCUUUUAUUAGAUUAGCUCAUAGGUAUUUGACACUUGUAUGCCUUUGUAAAUGGUACUUUUUAAAUUUCACUUUUUGGUAAAUAGAACAAUUGAUUUUCAUACAGUCUUGCACCACAUAAAGAUGUUUCUGCCUACGAUGGACCACAUAUACAAUGGUGGUCCCAUAAGAUUAGUACCAUACAGCCUAGGUGUGUAGUAGGCUGUACUGUACCAUCUAGGUUUGUCUAAGUACACCCUACAGUGUUUGCACAAUGAUGAAAUCAUCUAACGACAUAUUUUUCAGAAUGUAUCCCUGUUGUUAAGCGAUGCACAAUUGUAUAUUGACCUUAUUUCCAGUAACCUAUCUAAACUCUAAUUGGAACAAUUUAUCUGUAGAUUCUUUUGGAUUUUCUGUGUACACAAUCAUAUCAUUGCUGAAUAAUGACAUCUUUAUUUCUUCCUCUUCAAUCAUUAUAGUUUUUAUUUCUUUAGCUUGCCUUAUCGAACUGAUUAGGACAUCUAGUACAAUGCUGAACAGAGCAGUAGUACAGGACAUCUUGCUUUGUUCCCAAUCUCGAAAAGAAAGCUUUCAAUGUUUCAGCAUUAAAUACAAUUCUCACUAUAGCUUUUUUUGGGUAGCUAACCUUUAUCAGAUUAAGGAAAUUAUCUUCUAUUUCUAAUUUCUUAACAAUUUUAACUGUAAAUGCAUGCUAAAUUUUUGUCACAUGCAUUUUUUUGCAUAUAUUGAAUGACCCUAACAUUUUGCUCCUUUAUAUGUUAAUGUGGCAAAUUACAUUGACUGAUACUUUAGUGUUAAACAAUAUUUCCAUUAUUUGAGAGAUAAUCCCAACUUGGUCAUAAUUUUUUACGGAAAUUUUCAAAUACUUGUAAAAGUUGAGAGAAUAAUAUAAACACUCCUAUGUACCCAUCUUCCAACUUCCAUAAUUAACAGUAUAUGAUUAACUUUCUUUUCUCUAUAUUCCCAUUUCCCACCCUUACUCCAGAUUACUUUACAGCAAAGCCCAGAUAUCAUUAUUUCCAUAUAUGCUUCAGUGUGUCUCUCUAGAACUCUUUUUCAACAUAUGGCCAUAAUUGUUUUAGAUGUGUCUCUUGUAAACAGCAAAUGUUGGUUUUCUGUUUAAUUUAGUCUGACAACCUUUGUCUUAAAUACUUUAGAACAUUUGCCUUUAAUGCCAUUACUGUGAGUAUGGAUUUAAAUUACCACUUUUUAAUGUAAUUUUCUCUCUACUGGCUACAUUUCUUUUUCAUUCCUUUCUUAUCUUAUUUUGGCUUGGUUUUUAUUAUUCCAUUCUCCACUCCCACAUUGGUUUGGAAGUUUUACCCUCUUUUUAUUCUAUUUGAAAAGUUUUUUAAACUUACCCUAGAAAUUUACUUUCCAAAGUAUUACAUUAAUCUAUUUUCAUUUACCAAACAUGUAUUGAGUAUCUCCAUAUUUCAGGUGAAGUAAAAAGCAACAGAGAUAAGAAGAUGAGUCACACAGUCUUUGGUCCUUGAGGAAGUUUAGUCCAAACCAAUCCCUUUAUUUUUCUUUUGAAGAAUCUCUAGGUCUCCCAAGUUCAGAUUACUACUUUUUUUCAUUAUGAAAAUAUAAUGUGUUUAUAAAAAGAACUAAAUAUUUUAUAAGCUUUUUGUAGAGAUUGUCAGCAAGCAGGCCAUUAUAUCAAUCUUUUUCACAUGUUGAUUUUUCGGUUUUCAUUCAUCAUUUCAGAGGAUCCAGCCACUCUGGAUCUUUACAAGUAUCUUUCUACACAUUACACUUAUCCUCACAACAACCUUAAAGUGAAGUAUUAUCUCCAGUGUACAGAUGAGGAAACCGACUUCAGUGAGAUUAAGUGAUUUUCCCAGGAUCACAUGGCUAGUAAGUGGUGGGGUAGAUUCGAACCCAUAUCUGCCUUUCUCUAAUGCUUAUAUUUUUUUCCACCAUGUUACAUGACAGGACUUGCCAAAAUGUAGGCUAGAGAAAUUUUAAUGUAUAUUAAUACUUUAAUAAGAGUACAUGACUGUCACGACUUUUUUUGACAUGUAAUUCACAUACCAUAAAAUUUGUCUUUUUAAAGUGUACAAUUCAGUGGUUUUUAUUAUAUUUACAAGGUUGUACAACCAUCGCCACUACCUAAUUCCAGAAUAUUUUCAUCUCCCCCAAAAGAAACCUUGUCUCUAUUAGCAGUCACUCCCCAUUUCUCCCUCUCCAGGACGUUGGCAACCACUAAUCUACUCUCUGUCUCUAUGGGUUUUCCUAUCCUGGAUAUCUUAGCCUUUUUGUAUAGGUUUUGUUUCUGGCUUCUUUCACUUAGCAUAAUGUUUUCAAGAUUCAUCCAUAUUGUAACAUGUAUCAGUACUUCACUUCUUUUAUGGUUGAAUAAUAUUCCAUUGUAUGGCUAUACCACUUUUUGUUUAUCCGUUCAUUGGUUGAUGGACAUAUUUGGCUAUUUGGAUAACGCUGCUGUAAACAUUUGUGUACAAUUUUUUGUGUUCUCUUAGGUAUACACCUAGGAGUGUAAGUGCUGGGUCAUGUGCUAACUAUAUGUUUUAUUUACAAGGAACUGUGAAACACAACGUCAUCCAUUUUACAUUCCCACCAGCAAAGUAUGAGGGUUCCAAUCUCUCCACAUCAUCAACACUUGUUAUUGUUAAUCUUUUUUAUUAUAGCCAUCUUAGUGGGCAUAUAUCACACUGUGGUUUUGAUUUGCAUUUCCCUAAUGACUAAUGAUGUUGAGCAUCUUUUUAAGUGCUUAUUUGUCCUUUUUGUAGCUUUGGAGAAAUUUAUUCAAGUCCCUGGUCCAUUUUUUAAUUGGGUUGCCUUUUUGUUGUUUAAUUGUAGGAGUUUUUAAUAUAUUCUGCAGAUUAAGCCUUAUCGUAGAUAUGAUUUACGAAUUAUUUUUUCUUAAAGAUUGGCACCUGAGCUAACAACUGUUGCCAAUCUUUUUUAUUUUAACCUGCUUUUUCUCCCCCAAUCCCCCCAGUACAUAGUUGUAUAUUUUAGUUGUGGUCCUUCUAGUUGUGGCAUGUGGGAUGCCGCCUCAGCAUGGCCUGACGAGCAGUGCCAUGUCCACACCCAGGAUCUGAACUGGUGAAACCCUGGGCGCUGAAGCGGAGUGCAGGAACUUAACCACUCGGCCACAGGGCUGGCCCCUACAAAUAUUUUCUUCCAUUCUGUGAGUUGUCUUUUCACUUUCUUGACAGUGUCCCUUGAAGGAGAAGUUUUCAAUUUUGAUGCAGUCCAAUUUUUCUUUUUUUUUGAGGGGCAGAGGGUUGCUUGUGCUUUGGGUGUCAUAUCUAAGAAACUAUUGCCUAAUCCGAGGUCACAACCAUUUACAAUUAUAUUUUCGUCUAAGAAAAUAUUACCUUUACCCUCUUCUGAGACAAUGCAAGAACUCUGGAAUAUUUCAUUUAUCCCUUAGCUUAAAUUCUAUUUUUGUCAAAUACUCACAUACAUAUAUUUUGAAAUCCCAUAUAAUGAAUUAUGAUAAUCAUUUUAUGCAAUAUUUUGAGAAAUUGCAUGAUCAUCCUCCAGAAAAGAUGCUUUUCUUCCUUUCUGCAGGCCCUGGAAAGUAUUAGCAGUCCAUGACCAAGAUUUGAGUUUUUUUCUAGAGCUGGAGUACAAUUAAUACCUCCACUCUCCAACUUUUUGUUGAAGUUUCCCCAGUCAACUUGUGGUUGGAUAAAGUCAAUCUUUCAGUAGAUUUUUUUUUCAAGAAAGGUUCACAUUUGCAUGCUUCAAACUGUUUUUCUAUGGUUUUGAUACUCGAAAGGACAGCUUGACCUUAAGCAAAAUCAUUGGGUUACACUUUCUUUCCUUGAGGUUUUCCAGAGUUCUGCUUUGCAUGUUGUCUUGCUUCGCAUGUUGUUUGUGCAGUCUGACAUUAGUCUAAUUCUUUUGCUCUUUUCAGUUAUUUCAUCCUUUUUGUCUGUAGUCCCUGAGAACUUUUGUCUCUAGAGUUUAAUAGUGUUUGUAGGGUAUGUCUUGGAGUUGAUUGUUGAGGGUAAAUUUUUCUUGUACUCUGUGGGUUUUCUUAGACUAUGUCUUUUUUUUAAACUUUUCGUUUUGAAAAAAUUUUAGGUUUACAGAAGAGCUACAUGAAUAGUGCAGACAGUUCCUAUGUUUUCCUCACUGUGCUUCUUCCAACAUUAACAACUCAUAUAACCAGAGCAAAAUUAUCAAAAUCAGAAAUUAACAUUCAUUUAAUACUGUU